AGAACGAACGCUGGCGGCAGGCCUCAAACAUGCAAGUCUAGGGGGUGCAGCAAUGCAUCACCGGCGGACGGGUGCGUAACACGUGGGAAUAUACCUUUUGGUUCGGAACAACGCAGGGAAACUUGCGCUAAUACCGAAUGUGCCCUUACGGGGAAAGAUUUAUCGCCAAAGGAUUAGCCCGCGUCCGAUUAGCUAGUUGGUGAGGUAAUGGCUCACCAAGGCUCCGAUCGGUAGCUGUUCUGAGAGGAAGAUCAGCCACACUGGGACUGAGACACGGCCCAGACUCCUACGGGAGGCAGCAGUUGGGAAUCUUGGACAAUGGGGGAAACCCUGAUCCAGCCAUGCCGCGUGAGUGAUGAAGGCCUUCGGGUUGUAAAACUCUUUCGACGGGGACGAUAAUGACGGUACCCGUAGAAGAAGCUCCGGCUAACUUCGCGCCAGCAGCCGC
rnacentral:rRNA from 1 species